rnacentral:misc_RNA from 1 species
AACACAAAUUGUACUUUCCAGUAUUCUGGGAAGUAUGCUUGGUUGAGGGUCAUUAAAAUAACAUUCGUGAAAUUUUUUGCGGAUUUGAGUUUUCCAGUGUUUAUAAAAAUGUUGGUAACUUUAAAAUUAUUAUUACUUGGUACAAGUUGAAGACGUUCUAUAUGUGUGGUUCGCUGACAACUUGUCCAUCUCAUAUAUUAUGCGCGCACUUGGUUUUUUUAAUGCUAUGUGUGAGUAUAUAUUUUUUUUAUGACCUCAGCUCAAGUAAGAAUACCCGCUGAACUUAA